UCUAAAACUGUAUUAGCAAACUUGAUUUUAUUUAAUGGUUAUGUUUUAUACUAUUUUAUUUAUAGGUUUCCAAAAGAGGCGUUCACUUGAAUCUCAAAUGGCUUUCUGCUCUCUAUAAAAGUGCACUACACUGUACGAGAGUGACUUUAUAGUGCACCAUAUCACUUUUUUUUGCAUUUGAUUCUGAGACUGAAUGCUUUUAAGACAUUUUUAAACAUUGAAUUGCACACGUAAUGUAGCAUUAAUUGCACCAUUUCAUUAUUUGUGAAAUAUAAUUUUUGCCUUGAAGUUAAAAUUUCUUGUGGUGCGCUUUAAAUUAUUUCUUUGAGAAUGCCCCAAUGCAGACAUCUAGUGGUAGAAACUGACUGAUUGUGACUGACGUCCUCUAACGACAGAGUGGAUCCACCAAUGACAUUCUUUGUCCUGCCCUAUGUACGAGCUCCACCAAUCACAGACCUGGCCCAGCCCUUUAUAUGAGCUCCACCAAUCACAGACCUGGCCGAGCCCUCUAUAUUAGCUCCACCAAUCACAGACCUGGCCCAGCCCUCUAUAUGCGCUCCACCAAUCACAGAUUUGACCCCGCCCCUUUCCGGUUGCCUGACGAUCCCGCGAAUUUUAUGCCGCGGUGGCAUUUUGUCCUUUUCGUUUCGGUUACAGAAGGCGGCAUGGAUUCGGACAGGAUUUUUUUUCACUAGACUCAAAUCUAAUACUAUUUUUUUAAUCAUGCAUAAAGAAAUUCAAAUCAAAUUAAGGCAUAAAUGUAUUUUAUUUUCUAUUGUGUUGCUCCUGUUCAGGGAAAAUCAGGGCGCACGAGCCACGUGCACACAUUUCUGUAAUUCAGUAUGUACCGGUUUUUCAUCAUGUUUGCAGUGAUUUAUUUGCAAAUCUGACAUAUGGGGAUGUUUUCUGUCAGUGGAUUACCGUGUGGAUUAAUCCCAAAUGGCGCCAUACGGGUUGACUGAGGAUGUGGUCGGGAUUGACCCAAUGAGUCACUCAUUUUUCAUUAUUUCUGAACGCAUUUCUGCUAAAGAACAAUAUUUUAAAAAGUGCAUUUCUGAUUUUUUUCAUGCUUUGAAAAUACAUAUUGUAAAAAUGACCAUGUGCGCCAUGUGAAGCUGGUGAUGGAGAUCCGCACUAUGUGCCGGCUGAGGUGGUGCUUGGUGAUGGAGAUGUGCACCAUGAUGGUGCUUUGUAAUGGAGAUGUGCACCAUGUCCUUGCUGAGGUGGUGCUUGGUGAUGGAGAUGUGCACCAUGUCCUGGCUUAGGUGGUGCUUAGUGAUGGAGAUGUGCACCAUGUCCUUGCUGAGGUGGUGCUUAGUGAUAGAGAUGUGCACCAUGUCCUGGCUGAGGUAGUGCUUUGUGCUGUUGGUCGGGUCGCUCCUCUGCCCGCUGAUGGAGAUGACGGCGCAAAACACUGCCUUGCUAGAGCUGGUGGUAAACCGCCUAUAAUCUACAAACACACAUUCUUCUACGUGGUAUAUCUGUGCUUUAUUAUAAAUGAAUAAAUAAAUAAACCUGACCCUACA